UACGAAGGGGGCUAGCGUUGUUCGGAUUUACUGGGCGUAAAGCGCACGUAGGCGGAUCGAUCAGUCAGGGGUGAAAUCCCAGAGCUCAACUCUGGAACUGCCUUUGAUACUGUCGAUCUGGAAUAUGGAAGAGGGUCGCGGAAUUCCCGGUGUAGAGGUGAAAUUCGUAGAUAUCGGGAGGAACACCAGUGGCGAAGGCGGCGACCUGGGCCAAUAUUGACGCUGAGGUGCGAAAGCGUGGGGAGCAAACAGG
rnacentral:rRNA from 1 species